rnacentral:rRNA from 1 species
GUAUUAAAGGUACUGCCUGCCCAGUGAAACUUCUUUUAACGGCCGCGGUAUUCUAACCGUGCAAAGGUAGCGUAAUCACUUGUCUUCUAAAUAAAGACUAGUAUGAACGGCUAAAUGAGGACAGACCUGUCUCCUAUGCCCAAUCAGUGAAACUGAUCCCCCAGUACAAAAGCUGGAAUAGCCCCAUAAGACGAGAAGACCCUGUGGAGCUUUAAACCAACUACUACAAACAACCAACCUAGUACAAGGUUUUAAGUUGGGGCGACUUUGGAACAAAACACAACUUCCAAGCACAGAGGCACCCCCUCCCUCUCAGGCUAACAAGCCAAAAAAUAAACGACCCAGUCAUACUGAUCAACGAACCAAGUUACCCCAGGGAUAACAGCGCCAUCUUCUUCAAGAGUUCCUAUCGACAAGAAGGUUUACGACCUCGAUGUUGGAUCAGGACACCCAAAUGGUGCAGCCGCUAUUAAAGGUUCGUUUGUUCAACGAUUAACAGUCCUACGUGAUCUGAGUUCAGACCGGAGUAAUCCAGGUCGGU